rnacentral:rRNA from 1 species
UGGGGAAUAUUGGACAAUGGGCGAAAGCCUGAUCCAGCGACGCCGCGUGGGUGAUGAAGGCCUUCGGGUUGUAAAGCCCUGUGGGAAGGGAAGAAAAUGUUGCAGUCGAAUAGGCUGUGACCUUGACGGUACCUUCUCAGAAAGCACCGGCUAACUCUGUGCCAGCAGCCGCGGUAAGACAGAGGGUGCAAACGUUGCUCGGAAUUACUGGGCGUAAAGCGCGUGUAGGCGGACUGGUGUGUCGGAUGUGAAAUCCCCAGGCUCAACCUGGGAACUGCACCCGAAACUACCAGCCUUGAGUGGUGGAGAGGGUAGUGGAAUUCCUGGUGUAGAGGUGAAAUUCGUAGAUAUCAGGAGGAACACCAGUGGCGAAGGCGGCUACCUGGACACCAACUGACGCUGAGACGCGAAAGCGUGGGGAGCAAACAG